ensembl:snRNA U6 U6 spliceosomal RNA
GUGCUCACUUCGGCAGCACAUAUACUAAAAUUGGAAUGAUAGAGAAGAUUAGCAUGGUCUCUGAUCAAGGAUGAUGGGUAAAUUCAUGAAGCAUUCCAUUUAAAA